rnacentral:tRNA from 1 species
CCUGAUGGCUCAGAUGGUAAAGCAUCUGCCUACAAUGCAGGAGACCUGGAUUCGAUCCCUGGGUCAGGA